UCCUCGGUAGCUCAGUUGGUAGAGCAGUUGACUGUUAAUCAAUUGGUCGCAGGUUCGAGUCCUGCCCGGGGAGCCA
rnacentral:tRNA from 7 species